rnacentral:lncRNA from 1 species
CUUUUAAAAGAACUGCAAUAACUGGCCCUUUAAAACGGAAGGAACAGCGGGGGGUACCAUAGGAGGCAGCUUUGCGUACUGCAGAAACCCAGCUGUCCAUCUGCAGGGACACCAAACUCUCAGUUUAGACGGGAUCUGAGACUUAUACUUCUUUUCUGAACGAUUAAAACCAUGUACAGGCUGUACAUUGCAAAGUGCAGACAGGGAGCUAACAGCCCCUUCUCCUUUUAAAGAAUGUUAAUGAAAAAGUUCUUAUCAGGGAGAAGGGCUGCAAUUAACCUCGCCUAAAUUCACGGAACUUUCCUCUUAAUGCUUAAUAAAGUGUUAUCUUAUUGUCUGAUAUUAUUGUCUGUUAAUAGGAAAUUUUAAUACUUUCUUUUUAAGUGGUAUAAUAACGCUGCCCAGGCACCAUUAGAUCUCUGGAUUUAUUUGACUAUAAUCUUAGCCCCACUUAUAAAUGGUAGCUUUUUCCUUCCCCCCCCCCAACCAAUAAAAAAGCAGAGGUGUAUCAGGCACAGCCAAUGGCAGACUCAGCAGCAUUUAUUCAUUGCUGAAAGAAGCCUCUCAGCNAAUAGUGGGAGGCAGGAAGUUCUUGUACUGUAUUUAGCGGGAUCGGNGUGUUCUUGCUGAAGGACUGUACUUCGCUUCCACGUACCGACGUGGUUGAAGACAAGCAGGGGGGAAAAACCACACUAACAGAGCAAAGAGGAAGCAGGAACGGGGAAGGAACGUGCUUACAUGGUGAUCCUCUGACGCAGUUUGGCUGCAGGGCAGAGGAGGGAGCCAGAGAAAAAGUCAGCAGAGACGAAUAAACAAAAAUAUCCCUGUGCCGCAUCAGGAAGGAGUCACGUGGGCGAUUACUGAGCAAUGUUCAUGCCGAGGAGGCUUGCAAGGAAUUAGCAGGCGAACUUGUAGCCCGCGGGACUUGAACACUGCAGAGGUGAAAUGUUACCGGUUGCUUCAUCGUCGAGGCAGAGAGCAGGCGUCUCCCCAAAGGAUUCGGCGCAUGUCAGUGGAGGCGAGGCUUUUGAUCGUGCCGAACACGCCUUGGGGCAAGUGGAGGUGAAAUGCAAGCGGGCGCCGCGCAGAAGAGAUUUCAGAAUGUAAAACUACCAUAACACAGAAGGAAGUACUUAAAACGGUCAUACAUAGGAUAGGAAAAAAAGUAAGUUGACUCUCAAUCCCUUUCAUGAUAAUU